AUUGAACGCUGGCGGCAGGCUUAACACAUGCAAGUCGAGCGGAGAGAAGUAGCUUGCUACUGAUCUUAGCGGCGGACGGGUGAGUAAUGCUUAGGAAUCUGCCUAUUAGUGGGGGACAACAUUUCGAAAGGAAUGCUAAUACCGCAUACGUCCUACGGGAGAAAGCAGGGGAUCUUCGGACCUUGCGCUAAUAGAUGAGCCUAAGUCGGAUUAGCUAAUUGGUGGGGUAAAGGCCUACCAAGGCGACGAUCUGUAGCGGGUCUGAGAGGAUGAUCCGCCACACUGGGACUGAGACACGGCCCAGACUCCUACGGGAGGCAGCGGUGGGGAAUAUUGGACAAUGGGCGGAAGCCCGAUCCAGCCAUGCCGCGUGUGUGAAGAAGGCCUUAUGGUUGUAAAGCACUUUAAGCGAGGAGGAGGCUACUUUAGUUAAUACCUAGAGAUAGUGGACGUUACUCGCAGAAUAAGCACCGGCUAACUCUGUGCCAGCCGCCGCUGUAACAC
rnacentral:rRNA from 1 species